rnacentral:rRNA from 1 species
UACGUAGGGUGCAGGCGUUAAUCGGAAUUACUGGGCGUAAAGCGUGCGCAGGCGGCUCCUUAAGUCAGAUGUGAAAUCCCCGGGCUUAACCUGGGAACUGCGUUUGAAACUGGGGAGCUCGAGUGUGGAAGAGGGGGGUGGAAUUCCAGGUGUAGCAGUGAAAUGCGUAGAGAUCUGGAGGAACACCGAUGGCGAAGGCAGCCCCCUGGGCUA